UAGGGAAUCUUCCACAAUGGGCGAAAGCCUGAUGGAGCAACGCCGCGUGUGUGAUGAAGGGUUUCGGCUCGUAAAACACUGUUGUAAGAGAAGAAUGACAUUGAGAGUAACUGUUCAAUGUGUGACGGUAUCUUACCAGAAAGGAACGGCUAAAUACGUGCCAGC
rnacentral:rRNA from 1 species